rnacentral:lncRNA from 1 species
UGGGUAGAAAACACAAAAAGACCAAUGGAGCAUAAUUUACAACAAAUCCUUUUAUUAAUAAUAAAACCUUUACCAUUCACUUACCUCGAUAGAAUCCAUAAAACAGUGUACGAAAGCAAUAACAUCAUCAUCAUCAUGAAAUCAUAUAUAAACUGUAUAACAUAAUACUUAUCAAGCUUUUCGUAAUUCAAUCGUUACACAACAUAUUUUCCUCAUUUACCAGCCCACUAGUAUCCAUGGGGAUCCAUAAGGGUCCCGCUACCCGUUAACCCUUAACACUUGAAAUCAUUUUUCCAGGGCCGUCCCCAUACCCCGUCCGGUAUGGGCGCCAAAUUUAUAGACCUCAUUACCCCGUCCGGUAUGAGGGUGAAACGGGCCGUCCCCAUACCCCGUCCGGUAUGGGCGCCAAAACACAUAAGAUCUCCAUACCCCGUCCGGUAUGGGAGACCACAAUCCCGGU